rnacentral:rRNA from 1 species
CGGUGUGAAUCAUGACUGGGGUGAAUUCGUAACAAGGUAACCGUAGGGGAACCUGCGUUUGGAUCGCCUCCUUACCUUAAAGAAGC